AUGGCCUCCAUGCUGUCCUAUGAAAGCCUAAACCACGCCGUGGCUGGAGCUGUGGGAAGCAUGACAGCAAUGACAGUGUUUUUUCCCCUGGAUACAGCUAGACUUCGACUUCAGGUUGUUGAGAAAAGAAAAUUCAAAAUUACACACGUGGUGCUUCUGGAGAUCAUUAAAACGAAGAACUGCUGGCACUAUAUCGAGGGUGGUUUCCAGUGAAUUCCAGUUUCUGCUGCUCCAAUUUUGUCUAUUCCUACACUUUUAAUAGCCUCAAAGCAGUCUGGGUCAAAGGUUAACAUUCUACUGGAAAAGAUCUGGUAGUUGGGUUUGUUGCAGGGGUGGUUAACAGUGGCUGACAGCUCCACUCUGGGUGGUAAACACCAGAAUGAAGCUGCAAGGAGCAAAAUUUAGGACUGAAGAUUGUACCAAUGAACUACAGAGGUAUCACUGAAGCUUUUUAUCAGAUCAUUCGAGGUGAAGAAAUCUUGGCUUGUUGGAAUGGCAUAUUUUCCUCAUUGCUGUUGGGCUUCAAUCCUGCCAUCCAGUUCAUGUUUUAUGAAGGUUUUAAAUGGCAGCUCUAAAAGAAAUGGAUGAAGCUUUCUUCUUUGGAUGUGUUCAUCACUGGUGCUGCAGUAGCCACCACGAUUGCCAGCACUGUCACCUAUCCCAUGCAGAUGGUAAAGUCAAUUCUGAGGUUUUGGCAUCAUAGACUAAACCCAGAAAAUAGAACAUUGGGAAGUCUUCAGAAUAUUCUCUGUCUUCUUCACCAAUGAGUAAGAUGUUUUGGAAUAACGAGACUCUACUACAAAUGUCUUGAAGCCAAAUUGCUGCAGACAGUCCUCACCGCUGCUCUCAGGUUCCAUGUUUAUGAGAAACUGAAGCUGCCACCUUCAUAGUUAUGGGGCUGAAGAAUGCACACAAACACGGAGACGCCUUCCCAUGAAAAAAUUUUGAAGAUGCUCAACAGGGAGAUUUCCUCCCGAGUGAAGUGAUUCUCCUAUGACUCUGGCUCCUGCCACCACAAAUGUUUUUCUCAUUGGCUUGAAAAGCAUUCAAGGGUGAACAGGGAGUGCGGCCAGCUGGACCUGUUGUCACCUUAAUUAUUAUGCCGGCUGGUUGGAUUUUGGGGUGGCAACUGGACUAAUAUGAAAAAAAUAUAUAUUGAAUAUCUACAAAUGACAGUUUGUGAGUGUUUAUUGGUUUUCUUAAGAGAAAUGGACUCUUUUGCUCUCAUGUGUAAUGUUUUCUAUUUUAAUUUUUCUUAAAUAUACCAGCUGUUCUCUUUCCCUGAACUCUUCCCCAGGUUCUAGGACAAAUUUAAUAACAUGUAAUUCUCCUCAAAUACUUUUGUAUGUCUCAGUGUUGGUAUUUUCCUCCCUGAAACUAAUAUUAUGACUGUGCCAUGGGCUUGACUUUAUUUUGGUUGGGCUUUUUUUCUCCUGCUUAACGAGAGGUGUCUUUUUUAGGAUAUGAGCUAUUUAUUUUGCAAAAAGAAAACUGUUAAUCACAAAUGAGCUUCUUAGGAAUAUUUGUAAAUGUCAUUUAUUCAUUAGUGUUUGACAUGUUUUUUAAAUAUUUAUUUUGAAUCAAUCCUUUCAUCACAAAAGCCUUGAGGUUUUAUGUCCAUCCAUACAAGCCCUGGUCAGUCAGUCAAGUCCCAGUAAACGGUCAGUACAAAAAA